CCGGGAUCACUGGAGCCGGAUCAUGAAAAGGUGUUUUACUACACAUAUCUGGAUCAAGCUCCACUGAUCCGCAAUAUUGAUCUGAUCCUGAUCCGAUCCGAUCCUGAGAGGCAUGCACCGUAACUAGGGAAACUGACCAAUGAGAAGCAAACUCAAUGUGUGGCGCUUACUUAAAACUUACUUAAAAUUUAAAUAAUAUUUUAGGGAAUCCCUACAUAUUAUACAAGGACUAAAAGCUUAUGAUGUCAGCUAUCCAAGUAUGGUCCUUAUUAAAGAAAUCCCCCCAUAUAAACAAACAAUGCACUGAAUAACUUGGUGGACUGUCACCCGAAAGACAGCCCCUGUGUAGCUGAUUUCUUUAUGUGUUAUUAAUAACUAAACUAAAUUAUUACAAUAUAUAUUUUUAUUUGUUUUUAGUGUUGGACAGAAAAACAGUAGUCUGAGGUCAAAAUAAAACAAAAAAAUAUGAAGCAGAGAUGUAAAGUCCAGUGUUUAAGUAAACCUUGCUUUAGAAUUGGUUACCUGUUUGCCACAUAGACAUUUGUCUGUUUAGCAACUAUGCUUAUUUGUGUCUCAGACUGUUUUUAAGCAAGCCCCAGACCCACUUGCCCUGAGAAUUAGUUGUGAAUUUCACAAUAACCACAUUGCAUGUGCAUACAGAGAAGAAGGGUGUAAUGUCCCACUUUCAAAUAAUAUUGUUUCCAUUUAACAUUUUACAAAAAUUCCCAAGGCAAUGUAUUUAUUAUUUUAUUUAUUUCAAGCAAAAGAAAGAAUAGGUUUCAUGAGGAUGACUGGUGGAGGCCCACCGUCUCAAGAUGCAAAGGGGGUGUCACAAAGACGGCCGGAGUGGGUGGCGUCAGACCAGAGCCAGGAAAUAAAUAAACAAAACAAGAGAUGAAAAGGUGGACCAAGCUCCUGUCUUCAAGCCCCCUGCUCAGCCUGCCUCACUUAAACAGGCUGUGAAAUGCCCACCUUCAAGUGAGGUUCUGCUAGAUGCACUACAGGAAGGAAGCCAAGUAUGUAGCUAUAAUGAUAGAUUAAACAGCCAAUGUUGGAAAUGCAGCUCAGCUGUCUUGUGUUUUCAGGUACUAGUAUGUGACUGACAGUGGCCCGAAAGAACAUUUGUUUUGUGAAAAUGUGUUACAUUUACUAAAUUAAAAUAAUAAUAAAAAUGCUUUUA